CCUACGGGGGGCAGCAGUGGGGAAUAUUGCACAAUGGGGGGAACCCUGAUGCAGCGACGCCGCGUGAGUGAAGAAGUAUCUCGGUAUGUAAAGCUCUAUCAGCAGGGAAGAAAAUGACGGUACCUGACUAAGAAGCCCCGGCUAACUACGUGCCAGCAGCCGCGGUAAUACGUAGGGGGCAAGCGUUAUCCGGAAUUACUGGGUGUAAAGGGUGCGUAGACGGUGUGGCAAGUCUGAUGUGAAAGGCAUGGGCUCAACCUGUGGACUGCAUUGGAAACUGUCAUACUUGAGUGCCGGAGGGGUAAGCGGAAUUCCUAGUGUAGCGGUGAAAUGCGUAGAUAUUAGGAGGAACACCAGUGGCGAAGGCGGCCCCCUGGACGAAGACUGACGCUCAGGUGCGAAAGCGUGGGGAGCAAACAGGAUU
rnacentral:rRNA from 1 species